AUUGAACGCUGGCGGCAGGCCUAACACAUGCAAGUCGAGCGAGCGGCGGACGGGUGAGUAAUGUCUGGGAAACUGCCCGAUGGAGGGGGGUAACUACUGGAAACGGUAGCUAAUACCGCAUACCAUCAGAUGUGCCCAGAUGGGAUUAGCUAUUAGGUGGGGUAACGGCGCACCAAGGCGACGAUCCCUAGCUGGUCUGAGAGGAUGACCAGCCACACUGGAACUGGGACACGGUCCAGACUCCUACGGGAGGCAGCGUUGGGGAAUAUUGCACAAUGGGCGAAAGCCGGAUGCAGCCCGCCGGCGUGUGUGAAGAAGGCCUCCGGGUUGUAAAGCACUUUCAGCGGGGAGGCGUUACCCGCAGAAGAAGCACCGGCUAACUCCGUGCCAGCAGCCGCGGUAAUAC
rnacentral:rRNA from 1 species